UUUUUCUUUGCUAAUAAGCUGCUCCACGUACAAGCUCUUUACUAUAUACUUCUGUCAUUUUUAUAAUUUUGAAUUCAUGUGGUGGCGGACACUGGUGGGCCUGGUCAAGGAGAUACAGAAGGUGGAGAGACGGGUCAUGAACUCUGAGCAACAGCUGACCCACACCCAGCUGGACGUCCUGGCCCAAAGGGCAAACUAUGAGCUCUGCAUGGAUCAGUCCCACAUUGGUCUUCUGCAGGAGACCAAGAACCCGAGAAGAAACUACUCCUCUUUGUGAGUUAUCCCUCGACAGUAGUGAAGGAGACAAAUGAGUCUGCUAAAACAUACCUCCUCUGGAACUAACAGUGACUGUUCUAUGAGAGCAAACCUCACACCUCAAUAUCGCCUCCUUGUGGUUGUGGGUAUGAAAGACCAUUGAGAUUUUCUUUUGUCUUGAAAAAAGUUGACUUGACUACAUCAACAUAACACACUUAAAUGCUCAAUAGCUAUCUGUAACCUGACAUACAGGAAAACUCUGGAGGCCAUGCAUAUGAGGCUAAGAGCCAGGCAUCGACAGGAGGUUUGUCUGUGUCUCCUGCCCGUGUGGAACCACCAUGGUCACUUCCUUCACAGGAACGCCUGGCUCUGCUUUCUCCUCCCAGAGCAUAUAUUAAGUAUUUUUAUUUCAUAAGUAUUUUUUUCUUGUAUGUGUGAUUUAAAAUGUCAUGUUAAGUAAUUGGUUGCAGUCAACCUGCUUGCACAGGGGCCCCUACAAGGACUAAUAACAACUUGGAAGGGGAUUUAUAUUAAGGACAAUAGAUUGGCUGUUGUUUUGCAGUGACCCUGACACCUACUGGCCUUAAACCGGGUCAGAUGUAUUGUAGCAACGUGCCAUGGUAACGCAUAGAGUCCAUGGCGACAUGGGUCGCGCUCUCUUGGAAAGUGUGAAGGAACCCGACUGCUUGAGAGGGUCCUUAUGUGUCAAUAUCCCGCAAUAUUCUCAAACUGUAGAAUCUCAGCCGAAAGCCUUAUUAUUAGAAGUAGAUAUGGGAUGCGGCAGCUCGAGAAUCGUGGUAGGCUACCUCCAUUGAGUCGCAGGCUAUCCUUUCAUCCACUGUCACGAUUCUUCUAAAAUCAACCAAACUAUUCGGCUACCAUUGAACAAUGCAGAUUACACGCCUUUUAAUGCUUGAUCUAAUAUAGUAAUAGGCAACAUUUUAUACUGAAAAAAUAUAAAUGCAACAUGUAAAGUGUUGGUUUCAUGAGCUGAAAUAAAAGAUCCCAGAAAUGUUCCAUAUGCCAAAAAGCUUAUUCCUCUCAAAUUUUGUGCACAAAUUUGCUUACAUCCUUGUUAGUGAGCAUUUGUCCUUUGCCAAGAUAAUCCAUCCACCUGACAGGUGUGACAGAUCAAGAAGCAGGUGUACCUUGUGCUGGGGACAAUAAAAGGCCACUCUAAAAUGUGCAGUUUUGUUACACAACACAAUGCCACAGAUGUCUCAAUUUUUGAGGGAGUGUUCAAUUGGCAUGCUGACUGCAGUAAUGUCUACCGAAGCUUUUGCCAGAUCAUUUAAUGUUAAUUUCUCUACCAUAAUCUGCCUCCAACUUUGUUUUAAAGAAUUUGGCAGUACGUCCAACUGGCCUCACAACCCGCAGACCACGUGUAACCAUGUCAGCCCAGGACCUCCACAUUUGGCUUCUUCACCUGCAGGAUUGUCUGAGACCAGCCACCCAGACAGCUGAUGAAACUUAGGAGUAUUUCUGUUUUUGUGGGGCCCUUUUGUGGGGAAAAACUUAUUCGGAUUGGCUGGGCCUGGCUCUCCAGUGGGUUGGCCUAUUCCCUCCCUGGCACACCCAUGGCUGCGCCACUGACCAGUCAUGUGAAGUCCAUAGAUUAGGGCCUAUUUCAAUUGACUGAUUUCCUUAUAUCAACUGUAACUCAGUUAAAUCGUUAAUUGUUGCAUGUUGUGUUACUAUUUUUGUUCAGUGUAUAUUUUUAAGCACAUUUAGGACAUUGCCACUG
ensembl:lncRNA